GACGAACGCUGGCGGCGCGCCUAAUACAUGCAAGUCGAGCGUGAACCCGGGCUUCGGCCCGGGGGAAAGCGGCGAACGGGUGCGUAACACGUGAGCAACCUGCCCCGAAGACCGGGAUAACACCGGGAAACCGGUGCUAAUACCGGAUGUCCUCCUCCCAUCGCAUGACGGGAAGAGGAAAUGGAUUCCGCUUCGGGAUGGCUCGCGGCCUAUCAGCUUGUUGGUGGGGUAACGCCUACCAAGGCGACGACGGGUAGCUGGUCUGAGAGGACGAUCAGCCACACUGGGACUGAGACACGGCCCAGACUCCUACGGGAGGCAGCAGUAGGGAAUCUUGCGCAAUGGGGCGAAAGCCUGACGCAGCGACGCCGCGUGCGGGAUGAAGGCCUGGUUGUAACG
rnacentral:rRNA from 1 species